rnacentral:lncRNA from 1 species
ACCAUCCCUCUCGUUUUAUGGAUGCAGAAACUGAGACCUAUAGCAACUUCAGUGAAGGUCAAAGCUGUAAGAUUUGUCUUCUUACCUUAUAAAAGCAACCCUGCCUCCAUGACAGGUUUGGGCUGAGGUGAUUGUGGUAUAAUGCUCCAUUUCAGAGAGAAAGGAUUCAGCAAGCACCAACCUAAGUGCUCUGUGUGUGUGUGUGUAAUUAGAGGAGGAGAAGAGGGAGCCGGAAAAAUGUCUUAUAAACUCCCUCUCCUUGUGGGGCCCAAAUACUUGCCUGAACUGUGAUAGGGGUAUUAAUAUCUUUAUGCUGCACCUUAAAUUGUUUCAGAGUCUGCUCCCUCAGAAAACUCAACCUGUGACGGAUUCUGCUACAUGGGGUAAGUAGAAAAAAAUCUGAAUUUAAAGUCUGAAAAUUAAGAAUUCUAAUGCUGCCUGUUCCACUUACUUAUGUGACCUUAGACUAGGCAUCUCACAUCUCUGAAUGGUAGGUCUUUGUGUGUUCAUGUGUGUGUGUGUAUGUAAAAUACAGAUAAAAAUUCUUUCCUCACAGUAGCAUGUAAGAAAUUAAGUGUCAUAUAAGAAUGGUGGUAAAAGUCCUACAAAUAUAGCAGGAUAAUUUGUAAACCCCAAAGCAUAACAAUGAUGAUUAUUAAUGAACUCUCAUGGUGUAUUUGUUCUUUGAGCAAGACUUCUGUGGAUUACUCUUCCUAUAUUAAUACAUAAACAGUUUACUCUCUUGAAUACUCUAGAAAAAACUUUCAAAGUACUUCUUAACUAGUCAUGAGCUUGGCA